rnacentral:lncRNA from 1 species
GUUCCGUAGGUGAGACGUUCAGGCACAGAGACUCACUGGACUUUCUCCUCAGAGUCUCGCAAGGCUCAAAUCAGAGAAUCAGCUGGGUUGUCUUCCUUUUUGGAGGCUCUGGGGAAGAAUCCAAUUCCAACUUCAUUCGAAUGGCUAGCAGGAGUGCAUUCUUGUCUCAUUCUUUUGUUCCUAGCCAGAGACAACUUUCCUUCUAAGUGCUCAUGUGAUUAGGUCAGACCCAGUUGAAUAUUCUCUCUACCACUGAAAGUGGGAAAAAAAAGACAUAAUGAAGAGGACUCAGAGAUGAAUAUGCAGCAAAAGCGACAUUUGAGAGCUAUGAAGAAGGACUUUGGGGGAACAGAAAGUUGUGUUCAAGCCAUACAACUCCAUGGAGGGAUUAACACAGCAGGAAAUAUGAUGAACAUUUUGCCAAAAAUGAGGGUGUGGCCUGUCAGAGUGGGCACUUGGCAUCUGGAGUUGUCCCACAUGAUUAUAA